AUGAGAUCUAUUGACAAAAAAAGGUCAAAUAUGCUUUGAGUCGAAAUACACAGUACUGUGCAAAACUCAUUUUCUUUAAUUAAUAACUAUAUUGAGCGGUAAACAGUAAAAGCAAUCCAAAAAAAAUCUAAUCAUAAUUGUUGUUUGGUAUUAUUUUUUCUCUCAGGUGCAUUGUGGUGUAGUUUUCAAAAGAAAUCAGCACAUUGUUAAAGGCUUCUUGGACAAAAUCCUAGACAGCCUCGAUGAUGUUUUCAUCAGAAACACGGCUCGUGGGGGAGCCAUGACAUCUCAUGGACCACAGGGCACGAGGGGGUCCUGGGGACACCCUGGACCGGGGUUCACACACUACAGACAGUUUGGAAAUGCCAAUCAUUCUACAGAGCAUGUCUUUGGACUGGGGGAGGAAACCCCCGAAGCAUGGGGAGAACAUGCAAGCUCUGCGUACACAGGGUGGAGGUGGGAUUCAAACUCCCAACCCCAGACGUGUGAGGCAAAUGUGCUAACCACUGAGCCCCUAAGCUACCCAUGUUAUACAUCAUUGUAUACAUAAUAAUCCUCACUGGUCAGGGGUGCCAGUAUAAAUUUUGGGUAAAUGCACUUGAUCCCUUGGACACUUUUUAAAAUAAUAAUAAUAAUAAUAAUAAUAAUAAUAAUGUUUUGCCUUUCUCUCUCAUACUUACUUCUUGGUGCCUGUAAUAUGUCGAUACAAUAAUCUAGUAAACCUGUUUACAUCUGUA